UCCCUGGUAGUUCAGUGGUUAAGAAUUCUGCCUUGCAAUGCAGGGUACUUGGGUUUGAUCCCUAAUCAGGGAA
rnacentral:tRNA from 1 species